ACGUGGCUGGUGUAAUGGUUUAGCAUAUGGGUGCUCCACACCUAGGAACUGGGUUCGAUUCCCAGGCUGCGUA